UCCACAUAUUCAUAAAUUAUUUCUUUCUGCUUGUGUGAGAGAGAUAUGAGCUGGAAGCUUCUGGAUAUCAGCCAUCAAGCCGGCGCUCUUGCAAGGCUGGAUUAUUCACACAUUCGACCUCCAACCCUGAACAACAACAAACAGCUCAGUGCUCGCCGCUCGCUCUGCUCGCUGUUCGGCAGAUUGGACGAUUACGGGUCGCGACAUCAGCGGUUUGGCGCUAACGUUCAUCUCGCAUCUCCUCUGAGGUCAGAAAUAGACUCCAUCGUCUCAGUAAUUCCUCCCAUAUAGAGAAUAUUUGACAUUUCCCUCUCACCAACACUCUUUUCUUUUGAAAGAUUUUUUUUUAUUUUUUUAUUACCCUCUGCUGAGUGCAGAGUGACAGUGAAAGUAAUACCAGAAAGAAAACAACCACAAGGAUAAAGCUGAAGGUUCCUUUGUGUUGGCUGUGAAGGACCCUCUUAUCUUUGUUCAUACCUAAUGAAGGCAGGGCCCUUUGCAACAUGACUGGUUUGUUUCAUAGAAAAAUAUUUUCAUGAGUUCAGAGAACUUUUCUUCAGAUGCUUUGAGUCUUCAGUUUAGUGCACACAGGUAUAAAGAGAACAGUAAAGAUCCUCAUCAAAAUGUCUGACCUGUUAUGACCUGAAACUCCCUAAUAUCUUCUUGUACAUACAAUCAAAAGUUUCUAAGCACUCGUCAGCAGCACAAAUGCCAUAUGAACUUGGGGCUUUUUGAACCAAUCCUUUUCUGUGUUCAUUGAUUAUACAACAUUAAACUGCAAGAAUCUGGUGUGAAAGUUCUCUAAUUGACACUAGUAAUGGGAGCAACCGUUUAGUUCAGUGCACUGAAUCCAGGGGUGAGUUGAUCAUCUGGAGGUUCCUGAACCACUGGUCUGUUCUAAACACAGUGGACCAACACCAGCAGAGAGCAAUGUGCCCCAAACCAUCACUGACUGUGGAAACUUCACACUGACCAACGUGGAUUCUGUGCUUUUCUCUCCAUCUUUCUCCUGAUAUUGGAUCCUUGAUUUCCAAAGGAAAUGCAGAAUUUACUUCUAUCUGUGAAGUGGACUCUGAACCUGUCCGGUUCCUUUUCUCUCAGCCCAGUAAUCGUGACUUAAUGUCAGGGAUUGAUCCCGGAGCACAAGUCACUGAAGGUCUUUCGGCAAGCUCUGAUAUUGAUGAUGCUGAGAUCUGAAACAUAUCCAAACAUGCAGGAAGAUCCAAACGUGCAGAAACACAAACUCCAACACAACGACGAACAGCAGAGAUCAAAGCCUGGAAAUGUUUUGCCACCGUCAACCUGGAAGUGCUCCAAGAACAUCAAGUGAGGAGCAAGAAGAGAUCUGAAGGGAAAGCCCCUCAAAGUGCAUCCAUCACUCAACGACUAUCCAAAAGCAGACAAGCGCAUUCUCUGCUGACCCUUUAAAGAAUGUGCUGCUAUAAGUUCAGAGCUAUUUAUUCUGCUGAGCAGUUUUAUUUGAAAAAAAAAAAAGAAACCUCAUGUUCAAAGUUUUACUAUAGCGCAAAAAUAUAGGCACCUAGAAAGUGCUCACAGCACUUCAUCCUCUCUACAUUUUGCUAUGUUGUAGCCUUAUUUCAAAUUGUGUAAAAUUAAUUCUACACACAAAUAUGUGAAUACUUUCUGGAUGCUCUGUAGUUAAAAGAAAAGGUUUAGCAUUUAAAUGUGCAUAACAUUAAGUUUUAAGAAAUCACCUUGUAAGUACCAAUACUAAAUUACAGAAUAUUUGUCCAAAUAUUAGAAUCAAAUUGCUAUGAAAAAAAA